rnacentral:rRNA from 1 species
GGGUGCAACUAUCUGGUUAUUAACUCCGACAACUUGGAAGUCAUCAACACAAUGAAAAAUGGAGGACAAUCGGUGGAAGCGGCGGCAACGGUCUUCGAUGAUUGCUAUUUUUGGGCUUGUGAUUUUCCUUUUACUAGGUUUGAGCAUUGUAAUAGGAAAGCAAAUAAGGUGGCGUAUAAAAUAGCUAGACUAGCGAAAGUUUCAGUGACAAGGGACUAUUUUGAGAAGCCCAUGGAUGAAAUUGUAUCUUUUCUUACUGACGAUAUAACUUUUAUCUCUACUUAA